CGGCCUACGGGGGGCAGCAGUGGGGGAUAUUGCACAAUGGGGGAAACCCUGAUGCAGCGACGCCGCGUGUGGGAAGACGGUCCUCUGGAUUGUAAACCACUGUCCCCAGGGACGAAAAUGACGGUACCUGGGGAGGAAGCUCCGGCUAACUACGUGCCAGCAGCCGCGGUAAUACGUAGGUGGCGAGCGUUGUCCGGAAUAACUGGGCGUAAAGGGAGCGUAGAUUGCGAUUUAAGUUAGAUGUGAAAGCCCAGGGCUCAACCCUGGAACUGCAUUUAAAACUGGAUUGCUAGAGUACAGGAGGG
rnacentral:rRNA from 1 species